rnacentral:rRNA from 1 species
UACGGAGGGGGCUAGCGUUGCUCGGAAUCACUGGGCGUAAAGGGUGCGUAGGCGGGUCUUUAAGUCAGGGGUGAAAUCCUGGAGCUCAACUCCAGAACUGCCUUUGAUACUGAAGAUCUUGAGUUCGGGAGAGGUGAGUGGAACUGCGAGUGUAGAGGUGAAAUUCGUAGAUAUUCGCAAGAACACCAGUGGCGAAGGCGGCUCACUGGCCCGAUACUGACGCUGAUGCACGAAAGCGUGGGGAGCAAACAGG